UAGGGAAUCUUCCGCAAUGGGCGAAAGCCUGAUGGAGCAACGCCGCGUGUGUGAUGAAGGGUUUCGGCUCGUAAAACACUGUUGUAAGAGAAGAAUGACAUUGAGAGUAACUGUUCAAUGUGUGACGGUAUCUUACCAGAAAGGAACGGCUAAAUACGUGCCAGCAG
rnacentral:rRNA from 1 species